rnacentral:lncRNA from 1 species
GGGUCAAUAAUCGCCGCAAAUUAAUUACGGGGGUCGUAACGGUCACAAAUUAAUUAUGGGGGUCGAAAAAAAAUCGCCACAAAUUGUUUGUGACGGCUUGUAUUCUGGGGGUUUUGGAAACUGCCAGAAUUAAAACCCCCGCAAAUCGUAAAAUUAAUCCCCGCAACUUGAUCCGUUUUUUGUAGUGGCGUGCCGCCCAUAAUCUGUGGUAGAGAAACCAACAUGACGUUGGAAUCCCGGAAAGAGGCCAAUCUAACAUAGGUCCCUACAAAUUCUAGGAAGGAUGUUUCGGACUUGGAAUUUUUACGACUCUAAAUACAUUAAGUAGAAACUCAAAACCUCAAGAACAGAUAGGCGAGAUAGCACUUCCAGCAUAUUGAUAAACAAGAUUAACCUUAACAACAACUACCGCAAGCGAAGAUUAACCUUAACAACAACUACCGCAAGCGAGUUGGAGCCGACUAUAUGAAUUUCCACUAAACAUGUCGGAAUCGUUGUUUGCUUGGCAGCAGCUGCCAUUUGUGCACGAGCUGCUCUUCUUGCAAUAGAUUUUUCAUAUUGUUCUUGCCUGUAGCAACAGGGGAUAGAUAAUGCAGGCCAAGCAAACAUUUUAUUUCAAAGAUCUAGUAAAGCACCAAAAUUAGGAGCGACGGCAUCUUAUGGUAAUUACACAUAAACUAUGAAAUUAAAAUUUUAAUUUCAUCAAGAGAAAAUCGAAAGUGGGCAUAUCAUCAAAUACGUUGGAUGCAUACCACAAAUUGACGAUGCUAUCCCCUUCAAAUCUGAAUGAACAACAAUCACCCAAAAUACCUAAAAAAAAAAAAAAAAAACAAUAUUUUUUCCUCUUACUUCAUAAAACUAAACUCUGAUCUAUCAAAUUGAACCCAUUCAAAAAGAAAGUCAUAACUCGGUGCUAUUCUAUGAUGGAUUAUUAUUGCACUGAUCUUUUUGAUGCAGAGAAAAACUCAGAUUACAAUAUAGUCAUAAAUCAGUCAGCACACAAGUAAAAUCGAUAAUAAAAAGCCAAGAGAAUAAAAAGACAAAAGAAACACAAAAGACCAUAGAUUCUCCAAAACACUUACAGAUUGAAGGUUUGAGCUUAAUUAUCCGUUACUGAUUAGUCGAAUUUCUUUUUAUUAGUCAAUAUGUAAUUUGAGGAUUCAGAUAUUAUAUGAAAUGGCUAAAGGAAGAAGAUGAUAGUUCUAGAACGGUGAAAAAAGCUAGAGAUUAAGGAAUUGAUAAGUACAACAUCCAG